CCUACGGGCGGCAGCAGUAGGGAAUUUUCGUCAAUGGGCGCAAGCCUGAACGAGCGACGCCGCGUGAGUGAAGAAGGCCUUCGGGUCGUAAAGCCCUGUUGCGGGGGAACAAAGGCAGCAUCAGGUAAUGGGUGCUGACUGAUGGUGCCCCGCCAGACAGUCACGGCUAACUACGGGCCAGCAGCCGCGGUCAGACGUAGGGGGCGAGCGUUAUCCGGAAUGAGUGGGCGUAAAGGGUGCGCAGGCGGGCCUGCAAGUCUGGAGUGAAACGCAUGAGCUCAACUCAUGCAUGGCUUUGGAAACUGGAGGACUGGAGAGCAGGAGAGGGCGGGGGAACUCCAUGUGUAGCGGUAAAAUGCGUAGAUAUAUGGAAGAACACCAGUGGCGAAGGCGGCCGCCUGGCCUGUUGCUGACGCUGAGGCACGAAAGCGUGGGGAGCAAAUAGGAUUAGAUACCCGUGUAGUC
rnacentral:rRNA from 1 species